rnacentral:rRNA from 1 species
GACGAACGCUGGCGGCAUGCCUAAUACAUGUAAGUCGAGCGAACAGAUGAAGUGCUUGCACUUCUGACGUUAGCGGCGAACGGGUGAGUAACACGUAAGGAAUCUACCUAUAAGCGGGGGAUAACAUUCGGAAACGGGUGCUAAUACCGCAUAAUAUCUUCUUCCGCAUGGAAGAAGAUUGAAAGACGGCUCUGCUGUCACUUAUAGAUGACCUUGCGGUGCAUUAGUUAGUUGGUGGGGUAACGGCCUACCCAGACGAUGAUGCAUAGCCGACCUGGGAGGGUGAUCGGCCACAUUGUGACUGAGACACGGCCCAAACUCCGACGGGAGGCAGCAGUAGGAAAUCUUCCGCAAUGGGCGAAAGCCUGACGGAGCAAUGCCGCGUGAGUGAAGAAGGCCUUCGGGUCGUAAAACUCUGUUAUAAGAGAAGAACAAAUUGUAGAGUAACUGCUACAGUCUUGACGGUAUCUUAUCAGAAAGCCACGGCUAACUACGUGCCAGCCGCCGCAGUAA